CAAAUUUGAAAUCUGGCACCUUCGGUGUCCGAGUUGUAAUUUGAAGAAGGUAACUUUGGAGUUGGCUCUUGUCUAUGUUCCUUGGAACAGGACGUCACAGAGGGUGAGAAUCCCGUGCGAUGAGAUGCCCAAUUCUAUGUAAAGUGCUUUCGAAGAGUCGAGUUGUUUGGGAAUGCAGCUCUAAGUGGGUGGUAAAUUCCAUCUAAAGCUAAAUAUUGGCGAGAGACCGAUAGCGAACAAGUACAGUGAUGGAAAGAUGAAAAGAACUUUGAAAAGAGAGUGAAAAAGUACGUGAAAUUGUUGAAAGGGAAGGGCUUGAGAUCAGACUUGGUAUUUUGCGAUCCUUUCCUUCUUGGUUGGGUUCUCCGCAGCUUACUGGGCCAGCAUCGGUUUGGAUGGUAGGAUAAUGGCCAAGGAAUGUGGCUCUACUUCGGUGGAGUGUUAUA
rnacentral:rRNA from 1 species